UGCUCGCUUGUUUGACAGUGUCACGUGACGAGGGCUCGCGUAGCAAUGUAAACACUCCAGCCUAAUGGAUUCUGACAGAGGAGGAAGAAGAGGAAAGAGAGGGAAACGUGGUGGUGAUUGUGAAAAGGACAGAGACGUCAGGUUGUCUAAAUCUAUGUCCUACGCUCUUCGCCAUGGUGCCAAUCAGAUGGGUCUACAUUUAAGUUUGGAUGGCUACCUGUCUGUCAGGGACCUCUUGGCUCACCCACAGUUCCACUCGUACAAACUGGAAGAUGUUGAGAGAGUGGUGGCCUCAAAUGAUAAGCAGCGUUUUAAGCUUCGUCCUCAUCCAGAAGAUGGCCACUUGGAGAUUCGUGCCAAUCAGGGACACACAAUGCAGGUAUCCAAUUUGGAGCUGAAGCCGGUUUUGGCCGGUUCUCCCGACUGUCCUGUUGAGGCUGUUCACGGAUCCUACAUGCGCAAUUGGUGCUCCAUACAGCGGCAAGGCUUGAGUCGCAUGAGGAGGAUGCACAUUCAUCUGGCUCCAGGCUUGCCACAAGAGGAUGGCGUAAUAAGUGGUAUGAGGAAAGACUGUGAUCUAGCUAUAUUUAUUGACAUACCCAAAGCUCUUGCCGACGGUAUUGAGUUCUUCUGGUCAGAGAACCGUGUGUUGUUGACAACCGGGAACGUUGAAGGAAAACUACCCCCGGGGUACUUUAGCCGAGCCAUACAACUCAAGCCUACGAGGCGCAUCCUACCGCUGUGAUUCCAGCAGAAGACCGAUCAACAAGUCCAUCAAUUUUUUUUUUAUAUCACUCUUCUGCAUUGGGGUCACGGGUGAGCUGGAGCAUAUUCAAGCUGAUUUUGGCAGGUUACACCCGGGACUGUAGACAAACAAGCAUUCACAUUCACACCUAUUUAAGG